CGUAGGGACCAAGCGUUGUUCGGAUUUACUGGGCGUAAAGGGCGCGUAGGCGGCAAAUUAAGUCAUCUGUGAAAUCUCCGAGCUUAACUCGGAACGGUCAGGUGAUACUGAUCUGCUAGAGUGCGGGAGGGGCAAUCGGAAUUCUUGGUGUAGCGGUGAAAUGCGUAGAUAUCAAGAGGAGCACCUGAGGUGAAGACGGGUUGCUGGGCCGACACUGACGCUGACAGCGCGAAAGCCAGGGGAGCAAACGGGAUUAGAUACCCCGGUAGUCCUGGCCUUAAACGAUGAAUACUUGGUGUCUGGAGUCUCUAUAGCUCCGGGUGCCGUCGCUAACGUUUUUAGUAUUCCGCCUGGGGAGUACGCACGCAAGUGUG
rnacentral:rRNA from 1 species